CACGUAGGGGGAAAGCGUUGUCCGGAUUUAUUGGGCGUAAAGAGCUCGUAGGCGGCUCAGUAAGUCGGGUGUGAAACCUCCAGGCUCAACCUGGAGACGCCACCCGAUACUGCUGUGGCUUGAGUCCGGUAGGGGAGCGUGGAAUUCCUGGUGUAGCGGUGAAAUGCGCAGAUAUCGGGAGGAACACCGGUGGCGAAGGCGGCGACCUGGUUCGAUACUGACACUGAGGUGCGAAAGCGUGGGGAGCAAACAGG
rnacentral:rRNA from 1 species